rnacentral:lncRNA from 1 species
GUUAACGAAAUAAGAAGACAUUGACAUGUGAAAUGCCAUGUGUACCUCAUAUCGACAUACAAAGACCAAUUUUUAAUAGUAGAAAUAGGUAAAAUUUUUAACAGAAAAAUCAGUUUGUACAUUGAUCAAAAGUACAAAAAUUAAUUUAUCUAUUUUCUAAGUAAAAGAAGUAAAAUGAAAUCUAUUCCUAAUAAACGAAUCUCCAUAUUACUUUUACCCAAUCACUUUCUUCAUUUUAACUCAAAAUUGGCUCCAUUUCAAGUGCGGUGCACAUUAGCACGUGAAGAUGGUCCCCAAUCCCGUCUAUUUCAUUCUUUUCUUUUUUUUUUCAUAAUGUGCGUGCGACCCAUGAUUCAUCUUUGCCAUUGGUGCAAACCAUGCCCUUCCCUUUGUUGUCCUGGUCCUUUUUGUUGGAUCUGAAAAUUCAAGUGAAAUGCGACUGCCAAUACCGGUGCCGGCUAGUCUAGCCUACCUCCGUCCUUGAUCUGUUUCGCAGAAAAGGUAUGGAACAGCCAAAAGAUCCGAAGUAGAUAAAAUAUCAUUUUAAAGUUCCAAGACAUUAAUAUCAAAGACAGUUAAAAGUGCUGCAAUUUUAUAUAUAAAUCAGAGAUACAAUGGAGGAACUAAUCGGAUAGAUAUGGAAGAGAAUCAUAUGUGGUUUUUGUGAUUACAAGCAAGGAAGGAAUGAGCUUUUUAUCUCUUAGAAAACUGGACCACGUUAAAGGCAGUAGUGCUACUAACGAAGAGCGCCAUAUAAAAUUAGUUUCAUGGUCACAUAAAUGGAGGUGAAAGUAGCAUGGAAGUUACUAGAUUUUAUUUUAUUUUAUAUGAAAUAUGGGUCAUUAUAUUUUAGAUUUAAAAAUAAAUUGGUGUUUUGACUAAAAGUUUCAUUAAUUUAUCUUGUUACAAGCUAGCUUGACAGAUAGAAUGAUCAAACAAUGUUACGUGUACCUCAUGCUAUUAAGAAUUUUCAAACAACGUGUUAAAGACUCACACAUAUUUUUUGCAUAUCUGAUGUACUAACGCGAACCUGCAACUAUUACCACCUUAAUUUAAAUAACAGUGAACUAGAUCUAAACACAAAACACACAAAUUGUGAGUUAGAACCAAUAUUUGAAACCCCUUUAGGGUUCAGUCGAAACUAGGAUUAGCAAAAGUAAACGAAUUUUGAAUUUCGAUUUCUACUUACCCUUCUAAAGAUUAACCAAGAGGUGCGGAUUAUCCUUUGACUCUACUGCUAAUCCAAGGCGUUCAAUUUAGGUCCCUCAAACAAAAUAACACACCAAAAAUUAGGAUGUGAAAUUUAGCUAUCAUAUUAACAAUAUUCGACCAUUACAGAAAAUAAGAGGGAAAGAAAUUAACAAUAGAUCUGAUAUAUACACAGCACUUACACUACCCAAUUCAGAUAUGUGAUGACUGGAAUUCAAAUUUGAUAGAAAAUAAAUAAAUAAGAAAAGAAGGGUGAUUUAAGAGCUUCAAGGGGUGACAAUGGUGUGAAAAGAAAAAAGAAAUGGUGGACAGUUUUCUAGUGAAUGACAGCAGUAAUGGUGGCUAGCUCACUAGGCGGGAACAAAAAAUGGAAAAAAGAAAGGAACUAUGGGAGGAAUAUAGGGCUUAUGUAUGGCACAAUAGAGGAAGAAAAGAAAGAAAAGGAAUAGAAUGGAGAAGAAAAGAGGAGGAAGAUUAAAGGGGCGACUAUAGGGAAGUAGAAUGAGCAAAAUGAGGUUGACAGAAAAAGAAAAAUAAAUUUUAUACCUACGGUUUCUAGGUAAGGAUGAC